rnacentral:lncRNA from 1 species
GGUUGUGUUCAGUUUGUGUUGAGCUCAGGCACAAGCAAGCAUGGCCCAAGCCUCAAGCAGGGCCCAGACUGGCUCCUGAAAUGCAGCUAGAGGCUCUGGUCUGCCAGGCUGCAGAAAGAGGCCCAAAGUGAGUCGCCCAGGCAGGGGCCUGCAGCCCGCCCAGGAGGGUUGGUUAGGGCUUGCUGUUCAGUUUGAGGAGGCUCACUUCCUUCCCCUUUCUGCAGCCUGCUGGGCCCCAGGGAGCUGGUAACCCGGGAACUGAGGCACGGGGGGAGAGGCCUCCGGAGCCUGUUGGGUUGCCAGCCUGGCUGUCAGCUGGCUGGGCCCUCCUCGGGGUGUGAGCAGAGUUUCUGAAAGUCCAGAUCUAAGGAUGACUUAGAUGGGUGGCUCUGGCUCCAGGACCCAAACUGGGCUGCAAUCACAAAGCCAGCCAGACAUGCAGUUGUCUGAAGACUUGAAUGGGGCUGGACUCUCACUGCCAAGAGCAUUCUACUGCAGUGACCAGGGCCCGGGCGUCCACCAGAGCAGAGUGCAGGGAUGGGGGAAUGACACUAUUCCAGGAGAGAGGAUUCUGCUCCAUGAAUGCCUCUGUGGCUCUACUGAUACUUCUCACAAGGACACCAAUCAGUGGAUUCAGGCCCACUGCGACUUGUGUGAUCUCAUUUUCACUUAAUUACCUAUGUCUGCAAAGAUCCUGUUUCCAAAGAAGGCCACAUUCAGAGGUUCCACUUUGGCAUGGAUUUCUGGAGACCUAUUCAACACAUUAGGUAGGCAAUGGUAAAAAGAUGCAUUUCCUUUCUGCUGGAAGGAAAACACAAAUAGACAACUGAAAAUUAGACUAAUUAAGGACACAUUAGCCAUUAAAACUUUAAGCAUUUGCAAAGUCCAUUUGAUAAAACAAAUGGUUAAUGCUGCUGCACAAAUUAUAUAAAUGCAGCAAAUCUGGUUCUCUUGGAUUCCAGUACCAGAAUUUAAGACUGAUAUCUUGAGAAAGCUAUGAUAGGGGAGAACUAGAUACCCAACUUUCUCACUGGGUCUCUCUCAUCAGCCUUUGCGCUAAAUCAAAGCGCCAGAAAUUGAUAAAGAUGUUGAUUGGGGAAUGGAAAAACAUAACCUACAAUUGUCCAUAGAAUAUUGAAACCAAUUAAUUGAUGAAAUUGGUUGGCCUUCUUUUAGUGAGAUUUAAAAGGAUGGAUUAUAAGAUGGGGCUUUCAAAGUGUGAUCAAAGGACCCAAGAAAUUUUCAAAGUUGGGAAUAAUUUGAUGGUAAGUUUUACAUAAGUC